UACGUAGGGCGCAAGCGUUGUCCGGAAUUAUUGGGCGUAAAGAGCUCGUAGGCGGUUUGUCGCGUCUGCUGUGAAAACCUAAGGCUCAACCUUGGGCUUGCAGUGGGUACGGGCAGACUAGAGUGCGGUAGGGGUGACUGGAAUUCCUGGGUGUAGCGGUGGAAUGCGCAGAUAUCAGGAGGAACACCGAGUGGCGAAGGCAGGUCACUGGGCCGCAACUGACGCU
rnacentral:rRNA from 1 species